UUGCGGGAUGCCCACACGUGGCCUCAAAGUCACUUGUCCCCACCCUCCUCCUCGCGCUGCCCCCCGGGGGGGAGCCAUCGAGGGCCUGGGGACCCAGAUAUAACCUCCUUAGUUCCUUUUUUUCCGAGCGGGAGAGAGAGAUGGGGUUUUCCUGCUCCGGGCCUGGGGGAUGGGGUUGGAUGGAAAAGUCAGGAUUCUGCCCCAAGCCCGGGGGAAUGGGCGUGUCCACGAAUUUUAGGCCUCAGGCCUGCAGCCCGCGCCGCCCGCGGCUGGGGAGCGGAGGGUCGGGUCGCCGCGGGGCAGCCCCUGCGACGCUCCUGCGAGCGGCCGAGCCCCGGGCCGAGCGCCGCAGGCCCCGCCCCCUCAGCGCGCGGCCCCCUCCCCUGCUCGGGAGGCCCGGGGGCGGGGUUUGUUUACUCCGUGCACGCACCGCCGGCCUGGCCAAUCCGGGGGCAGCGGCGCCUUACGUCACUCGCGCCGAGAGCCAAUCGGGGCUCACCGUGCUGCUCCGCCGCCAAAGCUCGCGCGGGGGAAGCGGGGCCGUGGCCGGGUUGGGCGAGGGCGACCAGGCGGCGGGGAUCUGGGCUGCGGCCGCCGCCGCUUCUCGGCACGCGGGCGCGCUCCGAGCCUUCCUUUUUGGGCAGCCUCGCGGGCGCACGCACGGCCGGCGUCCCAGGGCCGCGGACUCGCGGGCCUCCGCCGGGCAGGCCGCGGAUCGCCCACCCCUUCCCCCAGGGUGAGUCCGUCGGGACGCGGGCGCCACCGGAGCGGAGGCGCCGAGCCGCGCCCCAGGCUCGGAAGAACAGCCCUGAGCGGCCGCCUCGUCCUCUGCAGCCGAGCGGCGGUAAGGUCCGGGGCGCGGGCGCGGGCGCGGGCCGCGUGCGGAGGGCCUCCGGCCCCGGCCCCUCGUGUUCCCGGGCAGCCCCCCCCCCCCCCAGGCCGUCUGUUUAUUCCCACGGCGCCCCCGGGCCGGGCCGAGUCCCCCCUGAGUGGGGGGGUGGGGUGGGGUGGGGUGGGGGGCGGGACCCGGAGAGCCCCUCCCCUUCCCCUCCCCCUCCCCCCGCGCCCCGGGAGGGGGCGGCGACCCCGCGUCACGCCUCGGGCGGCAGGCGAAGGGCUGCUGUCUCCUCUCGGGUCUCUUCAGGUCUUCAGGGCAGAACGAUGGCUUCUAAGUCUGGUUUUCCGACUUUUCCGCCGCCCAUGACUCACACGCCUCCAUCUGUCCCCGCCAGGUGUAUUUCGGAGCCACAAAGCUCCGUGCGCUUGCGAGAACCUCCCAUGUCGCCCAAGGGAACUUCCCUCUAG
rnacentral:lncRNA from 1 species